UGACUGAACAGAUGCGUUGCUGCCUUCAC
rnacentral:sRNA from 1 species